AAUCUUCGGCAAUGGACGAAAGUCUGACCGAGCAACGCCGCGUGAGUGAAGAAGGUUUUCGGAUCGUAAAACUCUGUCGGUAGAGAAGAACGUUGGUGAGAGUGGAAAGCUCAUCAAGUGACGGUAACUACCCAGAAAGGGACGGCUAACUACGUUCCAGCAGCCGCGGUAAUACGUAGGUCCCGAGCGUUGCCCGGAUUUAUUGGGCGUAAAGCGAGCGCAGGUGGUUUAUUAAGUCUGGUGUAAAAGGCAGUGGCUCAACCAUUGUAUGCAUUGGAAACUGGUAGACUUGAGUGCAGGAGAGGAGAGUGGAAUUCCAUGUGUAGCGGUGAAAUGCGUAGAUAUAUGGAGGAACACCGGUGGCGAAAGCGGCUCUCUGGCCUGUAACUGACACUGAGGCUCGAAAGCGUGGGGAGCAAACAGG
rnacentral:rRNA from 1 species